CGGCAGGCUUAACACAUGCAAGUCGAGGGGCAGCACGGGUAGCAAUACCUGGUGGCGACCGGCGCAAGGGUGCGUAACGCGUGAGCAACAUGCCCUAUACAGGGGGAUAAUCCAGGGGAAACUUGGUCUAAUAUCCCAUAGUAUUUAGAGGAGGCAUCUUCUAUAAAUUAAAGCUUCGGUGGUAUAGGAUUGGCUCGCGUGACAUUAGCUAGAUGGUGAGGUAACGGCUCACCAUGGCAAUGAUGUCUAGGGGUUCUGAGAGGAAGGCCCCCCACACUGGGACUGAGACACGGCCCAGACUCCUACGGGAGGCAGCAGUGAGGAAUAUUGGACAAUGGAUGGAAAUCUGAUCCAGCCAUGCCGCGUGCAGGAAGACAGCCCUAUGGGUUGUAAACUGCUUUUAUAUGGGAGCAAUAAGGUCUACGUGUAGACUGAUGAGAGUACCAUAUGAAUAAGCAUCGGCUAACUCCGUG
rnacentral:rRNA from 1 species